CAAAAAUUAAAAAUAUUAAAAGAAAAAAAGAAAACACAUGAUCAAUUCUUCCUGAAAAAGGUUAAAAAAAAAAAAGGUUUUAAGAAGAUGAUGUUUGAUUUAGAUCUUCAGACUAUAGGAAUUCACCAGACAGAGAGGUGAAUGAAGAACCUUCAAGCCUGGAAACAGCAUAAGGCAGACAGGCAGAAGCACGUGGCAUCUACGCUCAAUGACGGAGCCUUCCUACUCCAACAGAGGCUUGAGUGGAGGCAUUGGCAUCGCCUGGGAGCUUGCUAGAAAUGCAGAAUCUCAAGCUCCAUCCUUGGACUUCUGAAUCAGAAUCUACAUUUUAACGAUAUUUCUAGGUGAUUUGUAUGCCCACUUGAGAUGAAAACACACCAGUUUAGAGGGCUUUCGUUGUUGGAGUGUUGGAAGUCCAUGCAGCUGGAAAAGGUGGACAGAAACUAGAUAAGGACACAACAAGACUACAAUAUUUAGAAGCCUGAAGUUCAUCCCAUAGCCAUGGGUAAACCACCCAAAGUUUUGUGAAGAGCAGAAUAAUAUUACAAAAAUCAAUGUUUUAGGAUGCUAAUGCUUUUAGAAAACAGUGAAGAAGAAAACUACCUAGGGUAUUUUUGUAACAAUUUAGAUAAGAGACUAUGAUAAAUCCCUGGCCUGAGACAAUGGUAGUAAAAAUGGAAAGAAUGAGACAUAUUUCAGAGACAUGCCACAAAAAGGAUUGCCAAGAUUUUAUCAUAGCUGUAAGAGGCCAAAAUUAGACAGGGAAGACUGAGAAAAGGAGUCACUCUAGGAAGUGACUAGUUUCAAGAUGAACUAUAAUAUAUUGUUGAAGGCAAAAGUAAGUGAAAGCUGUAAGAGCUAUAAAGGGAAAGAAACUUCAAAACUAGGAUGCCAGAUGGGUCAACGGUAAUAACACCAGUCAUUUAUUCAGUCAUUCAUUUAUUCAAAAAUGUUUGUUAAUUGUCUGGUAAUUGCCAGUUUCUUAUCAGCACUGAGGAAACUCUGAGUCUCUGUCCACAAGAUCUCAUGUUCUAGAAGAGACGGAAAACAAAUAGGUAGAUGAAUGAAUAUGCAAUUUUUUUUAGGUGGAGAUUAGAGUUAGUGUUAUUUUUUAAAAGUAUGGUAAGCUCAAUAGUCAGAAGCUAUUUUAAUUUUUUUUUUUUUUUUGAGACAGGCUCUUGUACUGUCACGAGGCUCAAGUGCAGUGGCAUGAUCAUGGCUCACUGAAGCCUCAACCUCCUGGGCUCAAGCCAUCCUCCCACCUCAGCCUCCCAAGUAGCUGAAACUACAGACUCAUGCCACCACACCUGACUAGUUUUUUAAAAAAAAAAUUUUUAGAGAUGGGGUCUCAUUAUGUUGCUCAGGUUGAUCUUGAACUUCUGGCCUCAAGUGAUCCUUCUGCUUCAGCCUCCCAAAGUGCUUGGAUUACAGGGGUAAGCCACUGAACCUGGCCUCAGAGGCCAUUUUAAGUACAGAGCUCAGGAAAGGGCUCUGUGAGCAUGGCCGUUCAUGGCAAAGGAAAAAGGUGAUGUAUGUAGAACCAACUUGGGAAAUUCAACUACUUUAAGAAGACAUUUAUUUUGUUUCACUGUUUUGCAGGAAAAAAAAAUGGAGUCAAAAUUAUUUUAAUAACCAAGAUGAUAACUUACAUUUCCAUGAUUUUCAUAGUUUUAUACUUUUACAUAUGUUAUCACAUCUGACUCAUAUAAUCCUUUUGAAAGGGAGAGAGGACAGGUUUUACAGAUAAAAAGUCCAAAUUUAAAAUAGGUGGGGUAAUUUGGUCAAGAUUCCAUAAUUAAAAAUUAUGAGAUCUUUUGACUUAUAGAUGAGUUAACUAUUAAAUGAUUAAUUAUACAUUAAAGUUUGUUAAGCAUAGAAAAGAGAGAGACUCAGGCUACAGAUCUAAAAAUAUAAACUUCUUUAUGUUAGAUUAAAGAUGGCUGCAAUUUUUUUUUUUUUUUUUUGAGACAGUCUUGCUCUGUCACCCAGGCUAGAGUGCAGUGGUGCAAUCUCAUCUCACUGCAACCUCUGCCUCACGGGUUCAAGCAAUUCUCCUGCCUCAGCUUCCCAAGUAGCUGGGAUUACAGGCACGCACCACCAUGCCCAGAUAAUUUUUGUAUUUUUAGUAGAGACGCGGUUUCACCAUGCUGGCCAGGCUGAUCUUGAACUCCUGACCUUGUGAUCUGCCCGCCUUGGCCUCCCAAAGUGCUGGGAUUACAGGCGUGAGCCAUGGCACCAGGCCUUCUAUCCAGGAGUGAAGUCUAAUUCCCAUCCUUUUGUAUCUGGGUAGGUGUAGUUACUAAAUUACAAAUGAAAGAUUGAGAUGGUGAUAAGAUAUACUUUAUGAUUAGGCUUCUUCAUAGGCUAGACCCACAGAAGCCUAGCAGCAGGAUUCUGUCUCUCUAGGUAACAUCACUCACUCUGGGGAAAAGCUAGCCACUAUGUAAAAAAAAAAAAAAAAAAAAAAAAAAAAAAAAAAAAAAGGGAAAAGAAAAGUCUGAGCAUUUUGAAAUCCCCAUGCCAUGAAGAAGAUCAAUGAGCCAUGUGGGGAAGCUGCAUGAUGACAAAUAUCCAACUUUUUCCAGCUAUUCCAGCCAUGCCAAGCCCCAACCCAAUACAUAUGAGUGAAGACACCUUCAGAUUACUCUAGAUUCAGCCACCUCUAGCUGCUAUUUCAUGGCAACCACAUAAGAAAUCCCUAGUGAAAACCACCCUGCUGGAUCCGGUCAAGCCACAGAACUGAGAUAGUAAUAAAUUAUUGUUUGAUGCCAUCAAGUUUGGGGGAAGGCAUGCAAUAGCAUUAAAAACGUAAAUAAAUGGAUACUAACUGAACAAAGGACUUUGAAAUUAUUUUUUUUCUUUCAUAGGUAUCACAUUCUACAACAACCACAUAAACAUCCACAUAAUUCAAAGGAUAUUAAAAAAAGUAAUGACUUAUUUUGGAUUUAUAAGGUGUUUUAGAUGUAGUGCUCUGAGGAAACAAUACAGCAUCAAAGAAUGUUAAAUCUGUAAGAUG
rnacentral:lncRNA from 1 species